rnacentral:rRNA from 1 species
UACGUAGGGGGCUAGCGUUGUCCGGAUUUAUUGGGCGUAAAGAGCUCGUAGGUGGUUCGGUAAGUCGGAUGUGAAAUCUCCAGGCUCAACCUGGAGGGGUCAUUCGAUACUGCCGUGACUAGAGUUCGGUAGAGGAGUGUGGAAUUCCUGGUGGAGCGGUGAAAUGCGUAGAUAUCAGGAGGAACACCGGUGGUGUAGACGGCUUUCUGGACCGUAACUGACGCUGAGACACGAAAGCGUGGGUAGCAAACAGG